AGAGUUUGAUCCUGGCUCAGGAUGAACGCUGGCGGCGUGCUUAACACAUGCAAGUCGAACGGACUCUUCGGAGUUAGUGGCGGACGGGUGAGUAACGCGUGGGAAUCUGCCCUCAGGAGGGGGAUAACGGCUGGAAACGGCCGCUAAUACCCCAUAUGCCGAGAGGUGAAAUGAAUUUCGCCUGAGGAUGAGCCCGCGUCUGAUUAGCUAGUUGGUGGGGUAAAGGCCUACCAGGGCAACGAUCAGUAGCUGGUCUGAGAGAUGAUCAGCCACACUGGGACUGAGACACGGCCCAGACUCCUACGGGAGGCAGCAGUGGGGAAUUUUCCGCAAUGGGCGAAAGCCUGACGGAGCAACGCCGCGUGAGGGAUGAAGGCCUCUGGGCUGUAAACCUCUUCUCUCAAGGAAGAAGACCUGACGGUACUUGAGGAAUAAGCCACGGCUAAUUCCGUGCCAGCAGCCGUGGUAAUACGGGAGUGGCAAGCGUUAUCCGGAAUUAUUGGGCGUAAAGCGUCCGCAGGCGGCCUUGUAAGUCUGUUGUUAAAGCGUGGAGCUCAACUCCAUUUAAGCAAUGGAAACUACAAGGCUGGAGUGUGGUAGGGGCAGAGGGAAUUCCCGGUGUAGCGGUGAAAUGCGUAGAUAUCGGGAAGAACACCAGUGGCGAAGGCGCUCUGCUGGGCCAUAACUGACGCUCAUGGACGAAAGCCAGGGGGGCGAAAGGGAUUAGAUACCCCUGUAGUCCUGGCCGUAAACGAUGAACACUAGGUGUCGGGGGAAUCGACCCCCUCGGUGUCGUAGCCAACGCGUUAAGUGUUCCGCCUGGGGAGUACGCACGCAAGUGUGAAACUCAAAGGAAUUGACGGGGGCCCGCACAAGCGGUGGAGUAUGUGGUUUAAUUCGAUGCAACGCGAAGAACCUUACCAGGGUUUGACAUCCUGCGAACCCCUGAGAAAUCGGGGGGUGCCUUCGGGAGCGCAGAGACAGGUGGUGCAUGGCUGUCGUCAGCUCGUGUCGUGAGAUGUUGGGUUAAGUCCCGCAACGAGCGCAACCCACGUCUUUAGUUGCCAGCAUUCAGUUGGGCACUCUAGAGAGACCACCGGUGAUAAACCGGAGGAAGGUGUGGAUGACGUCAAGUCAUCAUGCCCCUUACAUCCUGGGCUACACACGUACUACAAUGCUACGGACAAAGGGCAGCAAGCUCGCGAGAGUUAGCAAAUCCCAUAAACCGUGGCUCAGUUCAGAUCGUAGGCUGCAACUCGCCUACGUGAAGGAGGAAUCGCUAGUAAUCGCAGGUCAGCAUACUGCGGUGAAUACGUUCCCGGGCCUUGUACACACCGCCCGUCACACCAUGGAAGUUGGCCAUGCCCGAAGUCGUUACUCCAACCCUUGUGGAGGAGGACGCCGAAGGUGGGGCUGAUGACUGGGGUGAAG
rnacentral:rRNA from 1 species